rnacentral:misc_RNA from 1 species
GCGUCUUGACACAUGACAUGUCCACUCUUGAGACAUGACAUGUCCACUAUCUUCACACACAGGCUUAUUGGCCGCAGUACUCCUCAUAGUUCUUAUCAUGACCAGCUUAGGUCGAUCUCGGCCAUCACCACGUGGAUGUCCUUCAUGGAAAGAAAGUCCAUGGUGUCCAUGCUACCAAUUCGAAGAUGGAUUAUUUCUGGAGUGUCCCAACACAAGCCUCUCCGAGAUCCAGAAAACACUCUUAUUAAUCACAUCUCCGAUAAAAUCCUUGAGCAUUUAUCACUUGGAUCCGAACAUUACAACUUUACCUACAGGACUGUUUGGAAACACAACAAUCUUCCAUCUUCAAAUCUCCUUUUCUGAGAUCAGUUCCAUUGCUGAAGACGCGUUCAUCGAAGUUCAGGACACACUCCAGAGUUUGUCGAUUAUUAACAGCCAUAUUUCAGAGAUUCCUCAAGAAGCUUUAAACAAGUUGCGAGUUUUGCGGAGUUUGGACCUUGACUCGAACGUCAUCUCGGAUAUCGAAAGCUACACCUUUUACAACCUACAGCUGACGACCCUUAACCUCCAAGGAAACCGAAUAUCGUCCUUGACAGAGUAUGCAUUUGGUGGAUUAGAAAAUACGUUAGAGAACCUUAUCCUCAUGAACAACAAACUCGAGGAGUUUCCUCUCAGCGCCUUACGGAGACUCCGAAAAGUUCACACUUUAAAACUAGUGUGGAACAAAAUUGAAGAUAUUCCAUACGAUGGGUUCACUAGACUCUCGGGAUUGGAAAGACUUGACUUGAGUUCCAAUCGAAUCCGGCAUUUGCAUGACCGCAGUUUCAUUACCAUGCCGAGCUUGAUCGCACUCUCACUGUAUAUGAAUCAGUUAUCUUCUUUAGACGACACGGUUUUCAUUCAUCUUCAACAUCUAGAAACUCUGGAUCUCAGCCACAAUGUCAUCACUGCUCUUAAAGGGAAACUUUUCAAACAUUUACAGAAACUGAAAACAAUUGAUUUAAGUUUCAAUCAUUUACACUCUGUUGAGCAAGGAGUUUUUCAGAAUCUGACGAAUCUACGAGAAGUAAUACUCUCCAAUAAUAAUGUACUGCUGAUUACUAAUGGAACGUUCCUCAACUCCACCCUAAUAUCUGUGCUGUUUGCACCCAAUAAUGCAAUCACGUUAAUUGAAAGCGGUGCCUUGUACGGGCUCGUUCAUCUUUAUCAGCUUCAACUAUCUUUUAAUCUGCUCAAGGAAAUCCAUCCGACACUGUUUAAGAACAAUCACAAGCUUCGGUCUCUCUCUUUGGAUCAUAACCUAAUUAUCGACUUACAGGCUGGAACGUUCCAAGAACUUGUAGAGCUUCGUGAUUUGAGACUUCAGAAUAACUUCUUGAAAAGGAUUGAAAAGGGCGUUUUUUAUUCCCUUCCCAAUUUGCAGGAGUUACAUUUGCAGUUCAACAGGAUAGAAUUAAUCGAAGAUGAGGCCCUACAGAGCUUAGCAAAUCUUCAACACUUAAACAUUCAGGGAAAUCAGUUAAUUGAAGUAGGCGAUAUAUUAAGUAGAUAUCCAUCAAGUAUGCAUUCCCUUCUAAUUAGCCAUAAUAAAAUUACUACGCUUCACCACAACAGUUUACGAGGACUUAAUAAACUGGGGCUUCUAUGGUUGAGACAUAAUAAGAUCAGGAUGCUAGAAAAAGCAGUUUUCCAAGACUUGGUAGAAGUUCAGAAAUUGUAUUUAGAUAAUAACGAAAUUUCCACGAUUGAAAAAAUGACAUUUGAACGGCUAAAAAGAUUAACAUACAUCAGUCUAGAGCACAACAACUUGAAUCACUUGACUCCGGAAAUGUUCGAGGGGGCAGAGAAUUUGGAGGAGUUGUAUUUAUCAUUCAACCGCAUCAUGGACAUUGAACCUCAAACUUUCCAAAACUUAAAGAAUCUUCGAAUAUUACAUCUUUCCCACAACCAAAUCUACGCUAUUCGAAAGUUUAUGUUUGAGGGCCAGAUACCGUUAGAAGAACUUGCUUUGUCGAACGUGAUGGCUGAAGAGGUUGAGAGUGGCUCCUUCUUGGAGCUCUCGGUACUCCAAAGAUUGGACAUCCGUAACAACAAACUAGAUGGUGCAAGGGUUAACUUCUUGUUUCUUCCUUCUCUCAAACUCUUGGAAAUAUCGGGAAACAACCUGAGUGGAAUAAGCAAUAAUGUAUUUUACGGAUUAUCGGGACUAGUAGAACUUGGAAUAGAGAAUACUAACCUUAGUCCUGUAACUGGAAGCCUUUUUGAACCACUAACCCACUUAGAGAUUAUACGAAUGGGUGGCAAUUGUCUUUCUGACCUUCAAACUGACCAGACAUAUAGCUUAAGCUUUGUUCGUGAGCUCUACCUUAACAACAAUGAUAUUCAACGUGUCCCUUCUACAGCAAUUGCGUCACUACCAAAUCUUGAAGUGUUGUCUCUCGCUAACAACAAUAUCGAGAAACUUGACACAGCAGCUUUUACGUCCAAUAGAAACAUCCAAACUCUCAACUUGACAAACAACUCGAUAUCAACGAUUGUAACCAAAGCGUUCUUGAAUCUAACUAAACUUAUAAGGCUAGAUUUAUCAGACAAUUCUCUGAAAUUAAUUCUUCCUGAUGUUUUUACCGAACUGAAAUCUCUGAGAUGGCUUGAUUUAGAUGGAAACCUUCUGUACUACAUUCCAAACGUGCUCCUUCGUUCUUCUCUACUCACCUUAGAAUGUCUCUCCGUAAACAGAAACCCGUUGGUACGGAUUCGUGAGGACCUUAGUGCAGAUGGUGGAUUUCCUGAUCUUCAAGAGUUCAGUCUCAAUCACGGAAACAUAUCCGUAAUUGCGUCUCACGACUUCCGUGGUGUAGAAACCCUUCUCUCGCUUUCUCUUACUCACAAUAAAAUCACCAAAGUUUCUCCGGGGGCUUUUAAACCGUUAGGUAGACUGCAGGUGCUGGAUAUGGGAAACAACGAAUUAGAGAUUUUACCAGAAGAAAGAUUCUACGGCUUGGACCAGCUGAAAACAAUUAACUUAACCAGAAAUCAUCUUGUAGACCUUCCACCAUUUUCUUCAAACCUAGGCCGCUUAGAAACCGUAGAUUUAUCUUUUAAUAGACUGACUCGACUCCGGUCCAAAACUUUCCAACACCUCUAUAACUUAAAGUUCUUGUCUCUGCAAAGUAACUCCAUCAGUAUAGUAGCUAAAGAUGCUUUCUACAAUCUGACAUCUCUCCAAAACUUAAAUAUCUUUGGUAAUGCAUUUACGAUCAUUUCUAGCGAAGUAUUAGUUCCAGUUGAAGUACGGUUAACAAAUAUACAACUAGGUGGGAACCCACUCGCCUGCAGAUGUGGCUUGCUAAGCCUAUGGGAGUGGCUACAUGAUCACCGCCACAUUGUGGCACCCACAAAAGAGAAGCUUAAGUUAGCGUGUUCGAGUCCUGAAAAGCUCCAGGGUCAAGCACUCUUAAAUCUCCAUCCUGUUGAUAUUUGCCCUGCUCCACUUAUCUCCCUUCUCGAGGUCCGGCGUUUGAAUCACGACAGCAUGACGGUACGUUGGGAUGUACAAAACGGGACUCUGAUUGGCGGAUUUUUGCUGACGUACCAUUUAACGGCCGACAGAUUAGCCCAGGCGAGUGUUAACCUUGUCUCCACCAAACGAUCUUACGACGUUAAGAACCUGGAUCCCUUAACCUGGUAUACAAUUUGUGUGACAGCUACAGGAAAAUACCUCAAAGUUCUCCACACGCCGACCCCGUACGCAACAGACUUGGAUAACGAUUACUUGGAAACAAACAGUAACAACAGAAAGUGUUUGCAGAUUCGAACGGUGGCCAAAACUGAUAAGACAAAGAUUUCCCUCUCUACGCUGGGCAUCAUCCUAGGAAGCAGUAUCAGUGGCAUCCUAGUUCUAACCCUCUCCAUUCUUUUAACGGCAAUUAAGUUUCGAAAACGUCGGCGGCCGGUAAAAAACGACAACAUUCCUCAAGAGUACAUCUCUUAUCGACACUUCUCAAUCCAAGAACCAGAAGGCGUUUACUCGUGACGUUCUUUCAUAUUCUAUAGGAGUGAGUGUACAAUAGAAACGCGCGUUUCAACAAGCGAAACUCUGUAAAGAAUAACGCUGUGAUUCCACCGAGAACGUGGAGUGACUUAUAUACAAUUAGUCUUCUUCAGUAAGUGUCAUAUAAGUGCUUGUCUAAGUAGAAAAUGUUGGACGACAAAGUUAAACACUUCCCUACCGUUUCAAAGCAUCGUUCUCUAUAAACCGUUACUGUACCUCAAAACUUAUUUGAACCGUCGAAAAUACAAAAGUAGACUUCUGUAGGGAUCUAAUCUCUAUAAAAAGGAAACGAGCCCCGGUUAUUUGGUAAAUGUUGUAUGUUUAUGUUCACCUACUUGCUUUCAAUGUUCACCUGAGCGUACAAUUAUGUUGCAACCCAAAUUUGGGUUUACUCGGAUAUAGAUAUUAACGAAAAGCUCAAUUUCCAGUGAAGUGUUUCGAUGUGGCUGUAAGAUGUAUUGAUGUAUUUGGCUUCAGAAACUGCCACCGCCCUUUACUCAGUCGUAGUCUAUCCAGAUUGUGACGUCCAAAUGUCCAGCCGAUGUGUAUGUAUAUGACAACCUCUGUACAAUAACUUAGAAUGUGGAAAAAAAAUGACGAAGAAAUUGCUGUUUUGUUUUAUCUGUCGUCU